UACGUAGGUGGCAAGCGUUAUCCGGAUUUACUGGGUGUAAAGGGCGUGUAGGCGGGGACGCAAGUCAGAUGUGAAAACCACGGGCUCAACCUGUGGCCUGCAUUUGAAACUGUGUUUCUUGAGUACUGGAGAGGCAGACGGAAUUCCUAGUGUAGCGGUGAAAUGCGUAGAUAUUAGGAGGAACACCAGUGGCGAAGGCGGCCUGCUGGACAGCAACUGACGCUGAGGCGCGAAAGCGUGGGGAGCAAACAGG
rnacentral:rRNA from 1 species